rnacentral:rRNA from 1 species
UACGUAGGGUGCGAGCGUUAAUCGGAAUUACUGGGCGUAAAGCGUGCGCAGGCGGCGCGUUAAGACAGGUGUUAAAGCCCCGAGCUUAACUUGGGAAUUGCGCUUGUGACUGGCGUGCUGGAGUGUGGCAGAGGGAGGUGGAAUUCCACGUGUAGCAGUGAAAUGCGUAGAGAUGUGGAGGAACACCGAUGGCGAAGGCAGCCUCCUGGGCCAGCACUGACGCUCAUGCACGAAAGCGUGGGGAGCAAACAGG